rnacentral:RNase_P_RNA from 1 species
UGAGUAAGCCAGACGAUCGCGUCACCCGGUAACGGGUGACGAGGAAAGUCCGAGCUCCGCAGGGCAAGGGUGCCUGAUAACGUCAGGCGAAGGUGACUUCAGGGAAAGUGCAACAGAGAUAUACCGCCGCGCAAGCGGUAAGGGUGAAAAGGUGAGGCAAGAGCUCACCGGCGUUCUGGUAACAGGGCGCGUCCAUGUAAACCCCACCCGGAGCAAGACCAAGAAUUGGCAUAAAAAGCGGCUGCCCGUCGCUGCCUGGUAUGGUAGGUUGCUUGAACGUAUCGGCGACGAUACGGCUAGAAAGAUGAUCGUUUAAUACAGAACUCGGCUUACAGGUUUGCUCACACU